rnacentral:rRNA from 1 species
UACGAAGGGUGCAAGCGUUACUCGGAAUCACUGGGCGUAAAGCGUGCGUAGGCGGUUCGUUAAGUCUGUUGUGAAAGCCCUGGGCUCAACCUGGGAACUGCAGUGGAUACUGGCGAGCUAGAGUACGGUAGAGGAAGGUGGAAUUCCCGGUGUAGCGGUGAAAUGCGUAGAGAUCGGGAGGAACACCAGUGGCGAAGGCGGCCUUCUGGACCAGUACUGACGCUGAGGCACGAAAGCGUGGGGAGCAACAGG